ncrna:Strongylocentrotus purpuratus microRNA spu-mir-34 precursor
CUUCCUUCGGCAGUGUAGUUAGCUGGUUGUUUUCGACCAAUCACCAACCAGCUUGCUGCAGGGCCCCAGGAAG